UACGAAGGUCCCAAGCGUUAUCCGGAUUUAUUGGGUUUAAAGGGUGCGUAGGCGGCUUAUUAAGUCAGUGGUGAAAGCCCCAAGCUUAACUUGGGAAUUGCCAUUGAUACUGAUGAGCUUGAGUAGAUUUUGAGGCGGGCGGAAUGUGUCGUGUAGCGGUGAAAUGCUUAGAUAUGACACAGAACACCGAUUGCGUAGGCAGCUCGCUAAACUCUUACUGACGCUGAGGCACGAAAGCAUGGGGAUCAAACAGG
rnacentral:rRNA from 1 species